GACGAACGCUGGCGGCGUGCUUAACACAUGCAAGUCGAACGGAAAGGCCCUGCUUUUGUGGGGUGCUCGAGUGGCGAACGGGUGAGUAACACGUGAGUAACCUGCCCUUGACUUUGGGAUAACUUCAGGAAACUGGGGCUAAUACCGGAUAGGAGCUCCUGCUGCAUGGUGGGGGUUGGAAAGUUUCGGCGGUUGGGGAUGGACUCGCGGCUUAUCAGCUUGUUGGUGGGGUAGUGGCUUACCAAGGCUUUGACGGGUAGCCGGCCUGAGAGGGUGACCGGCCACGUUGGGACUGAGAUACGGCCCAGACUCCUACGGGAGGCAGCAGUGGGGAAUAUUGCACAAUGGGCGGAAGCCUGAUGCAGCAACGCCGCGUGCGGGAUGACGGCCUUCGGGUUGUAAACCGCUUUCGCCUGUGACGAAGCGUGAGUGACGGUAAUGGGUAAAGAAGCACCGGCUAACUACGUGCCAGCAGCCGCGGUGAUACGUAGGGUGCGAGCGUUGUCCGGAUUUAUUGGGCGUAAAGGGCUCGUAGGUGGUUGAUCGCGUCGGAAGUGUAAUCUUGGGGCUUAACCCUGAGCGUGCUUUCGAUACGGGUUGACUUGAGGAAGGUAGGGGAGAAUGGAAUUCCUGGUGGAGCGGUGGAAUGCGCAGAUAUCAGGUGGAACACCAGUGGCGAAGGCGGUUCUCUGGGCCUUUCCUGACGCUGAGGAGCGAAAGCGUGGGGAGCGAACAGGCUUAGAUACCCUGGUAGUCCACGCUGUAAACGGUGGGUACUAGGUGUGGGGUCCAUUCCACGGGUUCCGUGCCGUAGCUAACGCUUUAAGUACCCCGCCUGGGGAGUACGGCCGCAAGGCUAAAACUCAAAGGAAUUGACGGGGCCCCGCACAAGCGGCGGAGCAUGCGGAUUAAUUCGAUGCAACGCGUAGAACCUUACCUGGGUUUGACAUGGAUCGGGAGUGCUCAGAGAUGGGUGUGCCUCUUUUGGGGUCGGUUCACAGGUGGUGCAUGCCUGUCGUCAGCUCGUGUCGUGAGAUGUUGGGUUAAGUCCCGCAACGAGCGCAACCCUUGUUCACUGUUGCCAGCACGUUAUGGUGGGGACUCAGUGGAGACCGCCGGGGUCAACUCGGAGGAAGGUGGGGAUGACGUCAAGUCAUCAUGCCCCUUAUGUCCAGGGCUUCACGCAUGCUACAAUGGCUGGUACAGAGAGUGGCGAGCCUGUGAGGGUGAGCGAAUCUCGGAAAGCCGGUCUCAGUUCGGAUUGGGGUCUGCAACUCGACCCCAUGAAGUCGGAGUCGCUAGUAAUCGAAGAUCAGCAACGCUGCGGUGAAUACGUUCCCGGGGCU
rnacentral:rRNA from 1 species